UCCCUUAUAGCUCAGUUGGUAGAGAAUGGCGCUUGCAAUGCCAGUGUUGGGGGUUUGAUUCCUAAGGGGG
rnacentral:tRNA from 1 species